rnacentral:rRNA from 1 species
UUACUUUGACUCUGGCCUCAAAUCAGGUAGGACUACCCGCUGAACUUAAGCAUAUCAAUAAGCGGAGGAAAAGAAACUAACAAGGAUUCCCCUAGUAACGGCGAGUGAACCGGGAAGAGCUCAAAUUUGAAAUCUGGCAGUCUUCGAUUGUCCGAGUUGUAAUCUAUAGAAGCGUUUUCCGUGCUGAACUGUGUAUAAGUCCCUUGGAACAGGGUAUCAAAGAGGGUGACAAUCCCGUACUUUACACAAUCAUCAGUGCUCUGUGAUACGUUCUCUACGAGUCGAGUUGUUUGGGAAUGCAGCUCAAAAUGGGUGGUAAAUUCCAUCUAAAGCUAAAUAUUGGCGAGAGACCGAUAGCGAACAAGUACCGUGAGGGAAAGAUGAAAAGCACUUUGGAAAGAGAGUUAAACAGUACGUGAAAUUGUUGAAAGGGAAACGAAAUUCAUGAAUCAUGUUUAUUGGACUCAGCCGUUCUUCGGUGUACUUCCUUUAAACGGGUCAACAUCAGUUUUGUCCGAUGGAUAAAGGUAGUAGGAAGGUGGCUCUCUCGGGAGUGUUAUAGCCUAUUGCUGCAUACAUUGGAUGAGACUGAGGACUGCAGCUUGCCUUUAUGGCCGGGGUUCGCCCACGUCAA